AGAAAACGCCGGAGCUGCGCGCAACCGACGAACGCUUUGUGUCGGCGCUGACUCAGGCCGCCGGGACACGGCAGAGGGCGUUUGAGGAAACCACCCUGCGCGGCUGGAGGGCGCUUGGCGCCGGCAACACCGCCGAGGCUGCGCAGCGGUUUAAUCAGGCGUUUCUCCUCGCUCCCGAACAGAGCGGCGUUUAUCACGGCUUCGCGGCGGUGGUUCAGGUCCGCUUCAACGAUCCCGCAUUCGCGGAAGAGCUGUUCAAGAUCGCGCGCAAACAGCCAAAUCCGUCGAAAAGUCUCAACGCCGACUACGGGCGGUUUCUUCUGAUCGUCAAACGCCCGAGCGAUGCGCAGCCGGUGCUAGAACAGGCCGUCAU
rnacentral:misc_RNA from 1 species